rnacentral:tRNA from 1 species
GUGGCGUGCUGGAGUGGUUAUCGGGCAUGGCCUGUAAUCAUGUGGGCUUUUCCCGUGCAGGUUCGAAUCCUGCCGCUCACG